GCCCGGGUGGCUCAGUCGGUUGAGCAACUGACUUCGGCUCAGGUCAUGAUCUCACAGUUCGUGGGUUCGAGCCCCGCGUUGGGCU
rnacentral:tRNA from 1 species